GGUGUAGCUCAAGUGGUAGGGUGCAUGCCUUGCACGCAUGAGGUCCUGGGUUCUAUCCCCAGCACC
rnacentral:tRNA from 1 species